rnacentral:rRNA from 1 species
AUUGAACGCUGGCGGCAGGCCUAACACAUGCAAGUCGAGCGGAUGAAGAGAGCUUGCUCUUUGAUUUAGCGGCGGACGGGUGAGUAAUGCCUAGGAAUCUGCCUGGUAGUGGGGGAUAACGUUCCGAAAGGAACGCUAAUACCGCAUACGUCCUACGGGAGAAAGCAGGGGACCUUCGGGCCUUGCGCUAUCAGAUGAGCCUAGGUCGGAUUAGAUAGUUGGGUAGGUAAUGGCUCACCAAGGCUACGAUCCGUAACUGGUCUGAGGAGAAUGAUCAGUCACACUGGAACUAAGACACGGUCCAGACUCCUACGGGGGGCAGCAGUGGGGAAUAUUGGACAAUGGGCGAAAGCCUGAUCCAGCCAUGCCGCGUGUGUGAAGAAGGUCUUCGGAUUGAAAAGCACUUUAAGUUGGGAGGAAGGGCAGUAAGUUAAUACCUGGCUGUUUUGACGUUACCGACAGAAUAAGCACCGGCUAACUUCGUGCCAGCAGCCGCCGUAAUAC